rnacentral:rRNA from 1 species
GGGUAGUUUGACUGGGGCGGUCUCCUCCUAAAGAGUAACGGAGGAGCACGAAGGUUGGCUAAUCCUGGUCGGACAUCAGGAGGUUAGUGCAAUGGCAUAAGCCAGCUUGACUGCGAGCGUGACGGCGCGAGCAGGUGCGAAAGCAGGUCAUAGUGAUCCGGUGGUUCUGAAUGGAAGGGCCAUCGCUCAACGGAUAAAAGGUACUCCGGGGAUAACAGGCUGAUACCGCCCAAGAGUUCAUAUCGACGGCGGUGUUUGGCACCUCGAUGUCGGCUCAUCACAUCCUGGGGCUGAAGUAGGUCCCAAGGGUAUGGCUGUUCGCCAUUUAAAGUGGUACGCGAGCUGGGUUUAGAACGUCGUGAGACAGUUCGGUCCCUAUCUGCCGUGGGCGCUGGAGAACUGAGGGGGGCUGCUCCUAGUACGAGAGGACCGGAGUGGACGCAUCACUGGUGUUCGGGUUGUCAUGCCAAUGGCACUGCCCGGUAGCUAAAUGCGGAAGAGAUAAGUGCUGA